ensembl:lncRNA
ACACUGUUAAAAAGCCACGCCUCCGUGCCUCUACGCCGAGGUUUAAGCUGGCGAGGCGCCGUGGGUAGGUCUACCGCGGCGAGGACGCCCAACCUUCGGAAUAUAAUAUAGAGCAUUCUUCAGCGAGGGAAGUUUACCGGAGGCUGAACACUGAGCGAGGAUCUUGGCGUUCUCGGCUCAGGUGUGGACCGAGGGAAGUUUUGCUUCAGCUUGUGACGAAACGGAUCAGAAGUUUCUGGCACCACAUCGUAGAUCCUUCCACGGAGACGAGCAUUAGAUCUAACAAUGGUGAUGAUGAUCCUGAUGAAGGCCACAAGCCAAAAUGUUACAGGUGUAACGUUGGGUUGUGUUGCGGUUGAGAGGAGGCGGCAAAACACCUAGCAGGCUAGUCAGAAGAACACCCACCCACGCUGGUAUCGAGGAGGGAGUGGAUACCAGACGAGGUCAUGGAGAUAUGAGGAUGCUUCGCAGCAGACACCAAGACUGCCAAUUCCGUGCGGGAGGAAGAUAGCUGCUAUAAUCUAUGUUUUUGUCUCACUGUAUAAUGUUGUACAGCCCGUUUGAGGGUUGUCCUUUUUGUGAAACCUGCUGCUGGUUAACAUAGAGGUCCACAGCACUGUGUAAACGUGUAAAUUUCAACUUUCAAAUGCAAAGUAAAUCCUUUUUUC